rnacentral:piRNA from 1 species
UCACACACAAUAUAAGAAACAAUACAGAUGC